AACAUCCUACGGGAGGCAGCAGUGAGGAAUAUUGGUCAAUGGGCGGGAGCCUGAACCAGCCAAGCCGCGUGAAGGAAGAAGGCGCCAGGCGUCGUAAACCUCUUUUGUCGGGGAGCAAAGAGAGUCACGUGUGGCUCAUUGAGAGUACCCGAAGAAAAAGCAUCGGCUAACUCCGUGCCAGCAGCCGCGGUAAUACGGAGGAUGCGAGCGUUAUCCGGAUUUAUUGGGUUUAAAGGGUGCGCAGGCGGAGGUGCAAGUCAGUGGUCAAAUUGCGGGGCUCAACCCCGUACUGCCGUUGAAACUGC
rnacentral:rRNA from 1 species